rnacentral:rRNA from 1 species
GUGGGGAAUAUUGGACAAUGGGCGAAAGCCUGAUCCAGCCAUGCCGCGUGUGUGAAGAAGGUCUUCGGAUUGUAAAGCACUUUAAGUUGGGAGGAAGGGUAGUAACCUAAUACGUUGCUACUUUGACGUUACCGACAGAAUAAGCACCGGCUAACUUCGUGCCAGCAGCCGCGGUAAUACGAAGGGUGCAAGCGUUAAUCGGAAUUACUGGGCGUAAAGCGCGCGUAGGUGGUUUUGUAAGUUGUAGGUGAAAUCCCCGGGCUCAACCUGGGAACUGCCUCCAAAACUGCAUGACUAGAGUACGGUAGAGGGUAGUGGAAUUUCCUGUGUAGCAGUGAAAUGCGUAGAUAUAGGAAGGAACACCAGUGGCGAAGGCGACUACCUGGACUGAUACUGACACUGAGGUGCGAAAGCGUGGGGAGCAAACAGGAUUAGAAACCCUUGUAGUCC